rnacentral:rRNA from 1 species
UACGGAGGGAGCUAGCGUUGUUCGGAAUUACUGGGCGUAAAGCGCACGUAGGCGGCUUUGUAAGUUAGAGGUGAAAGCCCGGAGCUCAACUCCGGAACUGCCUUUAAGACUGCAUCGCUUGAAUCCAGGAGAGGUGAGUGGAAUUCCGAGUGUAGAGGUGAAAUUCGUAGAUAUUCGGAAGAACACCGGUGGCGAAGGCGGCUCACUGGCUCGUAUCUGACGCUCAGGCGCGACAGCGUGGGGAUCAAACAGG